AGAGAAAAUCAAAUAAAUUAUGAAAUGCUUUGAUCUUAGUGUCAUGCUUCACGAUAUUACUUAGCUACGGGUGACCCCUACAGAUAGUGUGAUACCACUCUCGUCAGAGGGUACGUCGUCCUCCAUUGGGAGUGGUCCUCUUAUAUCUUUCCAGACCAGAUAGAGGAGGGAGGAAAAAGAUACCCCAAAGAGCCAGAGGAACAGAUACUCCUCAACGAUAAAAAGACUAACGAGACACUUGAUGCAACAUUCAUGUCAAUACAGAUACACUUC
rnacentral:lncRNA from 1 species